UACAGAGGUCUCAAGCGUUGUUCGGAUUCAUUGGGCGUAAAGGGUGCGUAGGCGGCGCGGUAAGUCGGGUGUGAAAUCUCGGAGCUUAACUCCGAAACUGCAUUCGAUACUGCCGUGCUUGAGGACUGGAGAGGAGACUGGAAUUUACGGUGUAGCGGUGAAAUGCGUAGAGAUCGUAAGGAAGACCAGUGGCGAAGGCGGGUCUCUGGACAGUUCCUGACACUGAGGCACGAAGGCCAGGGGAGCAA
rnacentral:rRNA from 1 species